rnacentral:rRNA from 1 species
UACGUAGGGUGCAAGCGUUAUCCGGAAUUAUUGGGCGUAAAGAGCUCGUAGGCGGCUUGUUGCGUCAGCUGUGAAAACCCGCAGCUCAACUGUGGGCUUGCAGCUGAUACGGGCAGGCUUGAGUUCGGUAGGGGAGACUGGAGUUCCUGGUGUAGCGGUGAAAUGCGCAGAUAUCAGGAGGAACACCGGUGGCGAAGGCGGGUCUCUGGGCCGGUACUGACGCUGAGACGCGAAAGCGUGGGGAGCGAACAGG